rnacentral:rRNA from 1 species
AUGAACGCUGGCGGCGUGCCUAAUACAUGCAAGUCGAGCGAACAGACGAGGAGCUUGCUCCUCUGACGUUAGCGGCGGACGGGUGAGUAACACGUGGAUAACCUACCUAUAAGACUGGGAUAACUUCGGGAAACCGGAGCUAAUACCGGAUAAUAUAUUGAACCGCAUGGUUCAAUAGUGAAAGACGGUUUUGCUGUCACUUAUAGAAGGAUCCGCGCCGCAUUAGCUAGUUGGUAAGGUAACGGCUUACCAAGGCAACGAUGCGUAGCCGACCUGAGAGGGUGAUCGGCCCCACUGGAACUGAGACACGGUCCAGACUCCUACGGGAGGCAGCAGUAGGGAAUCUUCCGCAAUGGGCGAAAGCCUGACGGAGCAACGCCGCGUGAGUGAUGAAGGUCUUCGGAUCGUAAAACUCUGUUAUUAGGGAAGAACAAAUGUGUAAGUAACUAUGCACGUCUUGGCGGUGCCUAAUCAGAAAGCCACGGUUAACUACGUGC